UACGUAGGGUGCGAGCGUUGUCCGGAAUUAUUGGGCGUAAAGAGCUCGUAGGCGGUUUGUCGCGUCUGCUGUGAAAACCUAAGGCUCAACCUUGGGCUUGCAGUGGGUACGGGCAGACUAGAGUGCGGUAGGGGGUGACUGGAAUUCCUGGUGUAGCGGUGGAAUGCGCAGAUAUCAGGAGGAACACCGAUGGCGAAGGCAGGUCACUGGGCCGCAACUGACGCUGAGGAGCGAAAGCAUGGGGAGCGAACAGG
rnacentral:rRNA from 1 species